GGCGCAUUAGGAGGCGCUAGUAUAAAUAGUGGCCGUCUGAGCAUCCCCGAAUCAUGUACCUGUUGUCUCCUUUCGGUCACCUGACUUCCCCCGGUGUUGCAGAGAUCACCCGUGGAUUACCUUCCUGAAGCCUCCAUCGUGGCUGCUGCAGAAGCCUCCUAUGAGCCACUCUGUUCAUAAAUCGAGUGACGCCGUUUAAUUGGAAGUGUGGGCCUUAGUGGGCAGCCAGUAGCUUUACAGCAGGGUUGCUAUGGCUUUUCUAUGCUCUGCUAACAGAAGUGCUGCUGCUUUGCCUUUCCCCAUCUGCUUCCGUUUGCAAGGGGUCUUUUUCUCUGCUGUUACCAGCCUCUUAGCAAUGGACGUCGGCAUGGACUAGUGAUGGGAUUUCCGGCUCGUUUUAGAGAACCGGCUCUUCAGCAUGUCUUUAUCCUGUCUUCCUUCUCUCACCCCAACCGGUCGCAGCAGAUGGCCCCGCCCCUCCCUGAGCCUGGUUCUGCCGGAGGUUUCUUCCUGUUAAAAGGGAGUUUUUCCUUCCCAC
ensembl:lncRNA